CGGGACGUAGUUCAGCCUGGUAGAACGCACGGUUCGGGACCGUGAAGUCGCUGGUUCAAAUCCAGUCGUCCCGACCA
rnacentral:tRNA from 1 species